rnacentral:rRNA from 1 species
UACGUAGGGUGCAAGCGUUAAUCGGAAUUACUGGGCGUAAAGCGUGCGCAGGCGGUGAUGUAAGACAGUUGUGAAAUCCCCGGGCUCAACCUGGGAACUGCAUCUGUGACUGCAUCGCUGGAGUACGGCAGAGGGGGAUGGAAUUCCGCGUGUAGCAGUGAAAUGCGUAGAUAUGCGGAGGAACACCGAUGGCGAAGGCAAUCCCCUGGGCCUGUACUGACGCUCACGCACGAAAGCGUGGGGAGCAAACAGG